CCGCCAGUAGCGUAGUGGUUAUCGCACCAGACGAGUAUUCUGGAGGUCGUGGGUUCGGAUCCCACUUGGCGGG
rnacentral:tRNA from 1 species